UGUUGAUACGCUUCUCGAAUUGGAGCUCCCCGACGAGAAGAGAAAGCUUACUAAUGACGAAUUGGUCACUUUAUGCUCUGAAUUCCUCAACGCCGGCACCGAUACAACGUCCACGGCGCUGCAGUGGAUAAUGGCCAAUUUAAUGAAAAACCCAGAAAUCCAGAACAAGCUUUUUGCAGAGAUGAAAGGAGUAAUAGGAGAUGGAUCAAGGGAGGAGGUGAAGGAAGAGGAUUUGGACAAACUUCCAUAUUUGAAAGCGGUGGUUUUAGAAGGAUUAAGAAGACACCCACCAGGGCAUUUCGUCUUACCACACGCAGUGAAAGAAGAGACAAUGUUGGAAAAUUAUGUGAUACCAAAGGAUGGGACAGUAAAUUUCAUGGUGGCAGAGAUGGGUUGGGAUCCAAAAGUGUGGGAAGAUCCUAUGGAGUUUAAGCCGGAGAGAUUCAUG
rnacentral:misc_RNA from 1 species